UCAGACUAGUUAAGCAUUAUACCGUGAAACUGCGAAUGGCUCAUUAAAUCAGUUAUCGUUUAUUUGAUAAUACCUUACUACUUGGAUAACCGUGGUAAUUCUAGAGCUAAUACAUGCUAAAAAUCCCGACUUCGGAAGGGAUGUGUUUAUUAGAUAAAAAACCAAUGCCCUUCGGGGCUUCUUGGUGAUUCAUGAUAACUUUACGGAUCGCAUAGCCUUGCGCUGGCGACGGUUCAUUCAAAUUUCUGCCCUAUCAACUUUCGAUGGUAAGGUAUUGGCUUACCAUGGUUUCAACGGGUAACGGGGAAUUAGGGUUCGAUUCCGGAGAGGGAGCCUGAGAAACGGCUACCACAUCCAAGGAAGGCAGCAGGCGCGCAAAUUACCCAAUCCCGACACGGGGAGGUAGUGACAAUAAAUACUGAUACAGGGCUCUUUUGGGUCUUGUAAUUGGAAUGAGUACAAUUUAAACCUCUUAACGAGGAACAAUUGGAGGGCAAGUCUGGUGCCAGCAGCCGCGGUAAUUCCAGCUCCAAUAGCGUAUAUUAAAGUUGUUGCAGUUAAAAAGCUCGUAGUUGAAACUUGGGCCUGGCUGGCGGGUCCGGCUCACCGCGUGCACUCGUCCGGCCGGGCCUUCCUUCUGAAGAACCUCAUGCCCUUCACUGGGCGUGUUGGGGAAUCAGGACUUUUACUUUGAAAAAAUUAGAGUGUUCAAAGCAGGCCUUUGCUCGAAUACGUUAGCAUGGAAUAAUAAAAUAGGGCGUGCGUUUCUAUUUUGUUGGUUUCUAGAGACGCCGCAAUGAUUAACAGGAACAGUCGGGGGCAUCAGUAUUCAGUUGUCAGAGGUGAAAUUCUUGGGAUUUACUGAAGACUAACUACUGCGAAAGCAUUUGCCAAGGAUGUUUUCAUUAAUCAGUGAACGAAAGUCAGGGGGAUCGAAGACGAUCAGAUACCGUCGUAGUCUUGACCGUAAACUAUGCCCGACUAGGGAUCGGGGCGGAUGUUCUUUUUUCU
rnacentral:rRNA from 1 species